UGGGGAAUUUUGGACAAUGGGGGCAACCCUGAUCCAGCAAUGCCGCGUGAGUGAAGAAGGCCUUCGGGUUGUAAACCACUUUUGUCAGGGAAGAAACGGCUCUUACUAAUAUUAGGAGCUAAUGACGGUACCUGAAGAAUAAGCACCGGCUAACUACGUGCCAGCAGCCGCGGUAAUACGUAGGGUGCAAGCGUUAAUCGGAAUUACUGGGCGUAAAGCGUGCGCAGGCGGCUUUGCAAGACAGAUGUGAAAUCCCCGGGCUCAACCUGGGAACUGCAUUUGUGACUGCAAGGCUAGAGUACGGUAGAGGGGGAUGGAAUUCCGCGUGUAGCAGUGAAAUGCGUAGAUAUGCGGAGGAACACCGAUGGCGAAGGCAAUCCCCUGGACCUGUACUGACGCUCAUGCACGAAAGCGUGGGGAGCAAACAGG
rnacentral:rRNA from 1 species